UUUUUUUAUUUUUUUUUUUUACUUGUGGCAAAGAAGCUUGUCCUAUUUUGCAAGUUUAUUGAAAAAGGCAGGAGUUUAAAAACCCUAACACCUUGAAAACUCAAUUUUAAAUUUAUAGCGUAGCUUUGUAUUCUCUUUGAAACCAAAGACAAAUUUCCUACUGAUUUUAUCAGGAGCAAUAUAAAGGUCUGCAAAGAUAAGUAAUGUUCUUUCUCUCUCAUGUGAAAACAUGUCAUUGGGUUCCUCCCUGGAUAGUUUUGGCUAUAUCAUUACAAACAUACACCAAGGACUGAAUGUGGCCUCGCAAUGAAAAACAUUUUGUUUAUUCAAUUUGCAAACCUCAGAAUGAAGGCCCUACUGGCCCUGAAAUGGGAAGGAGGAAUACAGAGCAGGCUGCCAUGCAAGGUAGGAUGACUCCUUCCAUGAAUAGAGGGUGUCCAGGAAGUCAGUACCCAGAGAGAUAAUUUUGAGCUACAGUAUUUCAUGUUUGCCCUUACAUCUGUCACAUGGCUUGUCCUCAGAGUUGCUGAGUGAUAAGUGCCCCUAAAAAUCCUUUUCUCUGUUGCAGGGGAGCUAGUGUGGAUUCAGUCAUCUACCUUAACUCUCAGAUCUGAAACUCCUGCUGAGAAGCUUUGUUGGUUUGGGUGGAAGAUGUCAUCAAGUGUUUUUCAGAGAAGAGUGGCACUUUAACAGCCAACUCAAAAGGAGGGAAUUUCCUUUCCAGGCAGAAUGAGCAGACUUGGUGUGAGAACCAUAUGGAAGGGAAGAAGUAUCCCAGACCCAAGAUGCAAGUUUAUGGAUUGAAAGACAGGAGGCCAAACACCGAAACAGUAUCUAACGAAAUGUGAUUGUACGGAGAUGUGCACAAAGGCUGUGACAAGAUGGUCUUCAGUGAUGCGGUUGAGAUGUAAAGGUCACUGUCUGCAAAAUUUCUUGCUACUGUGGAGAAUCAUUCAAAUACCAACCUGCUUGGAGCAUCUCCUAACGCGCCUGGGUCCUAGAGUUGCCGCGGAUAGCUGCCGAAUCCGGACCGCAGGUGCGUUGGUGGUGACGAAAUAACGGGCUUCCACAGAGGCGGGUGUCUCCCAGGCGGCUUUAUUUCCAAGGGUUCGUAAGAGGGAAAACGAGGCAAGGGACGAGGGGAACAACCACUCGGAAGGAAAGCCAGCUCUGAGAGCCCCAAACCAGGGGUGGAGCAGAGAUUAUAACUAUAACUGGGUAGGAGGGUCAGGGUACAAAACGUCCAACUAGGUGAGGGCUUGAGGGCAGAAUCAGGGAAGAGCGACAGGGCAACAGCCAACUGGGAUGGAGGGAAGGGAUGGCUUCGAGGGGAGAACCAACGGGGGUACAGAGAACUAAGAACUUUCCAGAACUGGGGGAAGGAAUACACAAUGAUGGACAGGAGUAAAGAGAAGGGAUAACAAAAGACUGACAACCAGGGAAGGCGGGAAACUAAAUGUCAGUUGCCUCCCAAGGCAGAGCAGGGGGGCCAUCAGCCGCAUCCCCUCCCACAAUCUCCAGCUUUUCCACUGUUCUUGAAAAGGUAAUAAGUAAGGUUCAUUAAUAAUGGUACUAAAGUACAAGACAAACAUGGUACUGAUGGAAAUAGUUAAACCCAAAUUCCUUGCUGAGGCUGAACUGAAGUGCCUGUUAUGCCAUGACACAUUCUGAAAUUAGGCUGAACAACGUAAUUUCUAGUUGUGGAUUCUACGGAUCCUCCUUGCAUAUUGCAAAAAGCCAAAUCAGAAAAUGAAAAAGAUUGGUGCCAAUUGUUUGGGGAAGUCAUUGUUUGUCUGCAUUUAGCAAGAAAGGGACACCAUUUGGCAGCAUGGGGUGCCACCACAUUGGUUCCAGAUAAUAAUCACUGUGAAUUGAGUAGUAAGGAGAGCUGCCCAUUGACCAGCAUUGAUUGCUGUCCUCAACAGGUGCUAAUGUUCAGAGGGCAGAUCACAGCUGCUUGCACAAGAUUCCCAUUAUCAUUUGCUGGGUAUUGAUUCUUCCUUUGGGAUGUUUCCUUUCUAACUGUGUUAAUUUUCCGAUCACAUAUUUGAUUUGGUCUGCGCCGAAAGGGGCGAGAAGAGGUGCCUUGCCUAUGUUUAAUGACCUUCCUUGUCCCCCUGCUCCCUCCCUCCCUCACCAGUCUCUCAAAUCUUUAGAGACCAUGUCUGCUGGGAUCCAAGUUUCCUCUAAUUAUGGUGCUCAUUAAUGGACAGACUCUAUGAAGAAUACCAGUACUACUCUUGUAAUUGCUUCAGGUGCACUCAAAAAUUAAUCAGAAAGUACACAAUGGGGUUUUUGUUUUGGUGUGUUUUAUUUUGAAUCCUUUCUAAGUCUGAAGACUUGGUGCCUGUGUGUAGAGCUCACACAAGCGUAAAAAGGAAAGGAUGGGAAAGUAGUUGUGGAGCCGCCAGGACGGGGACUGUUGUGUCCCUUCAGCACUAUUUUGGUGCUGCACACAAUUAAUUAGCUGAUGGACCUCAGGUACUAUCAAACCAGAAUGACAGUGUUAUACAUUCAUUUUGCAUGGGUAUAAACACCUUUCAGGGUUGACUGGGUAUAUGGACUUGUCUUUCUGUAGGUGUCUGCAUAGUGCUUAGAGCUGUGUUGGGAUCUUGCAGAAUCUUUGUACUACAUAAAGCUGCUUAUAAGAAUUGUGCCUCAGUUCUCUACUUCAAUCAGUCAAAGAAGUCUAAUCCAUAAUUGUUUCAGAGGAGGGAGUAAUAGCAUAUUACAAAAAAAAUUUUGUCCAGGAUUUUUCUUGUUUUGGCAGAUAUAACCACAUCAGUGCAAAUAUUACCUUCACAUAUGAAUAAACAUUAUUAAUUUUAUCUAUGUAGCCAGGGAGUGGAACAAUUAAUUUAGGUUCUCUGAACAAAUUAUACUUUUGCACAGAAAAAUGGACACCAGUUUCCGAGCCAUCCUUAAUGCAUCUUUGUUUUCUGUGGUCUGCAUAGAAAGGAAAGGGUACAUCUGAACCUAGUUAGCCACAGAGUAAAAAUAGUUGUGGUGUUUCUGUAAUCAAUAACAAGCAAAAGAUGUAUGCAAUUAUCUUCAGCUCCACAAUUGAAAUGGCCAGGUAGUCAUUUAUAGCUGAAUGUUAGAGUGCAACUUAGAUUAAAACCUCUGCAACCUUUUUGCCAAUAUUUCUGGGUUCCUUGUGGUGUCAACAAAUGCAGCGUUAUUAUAAAAGUAACUCCACUUUGAGCUUCAUGGUACCAGAGUGGUUACCUCACCCUGGAAGCACGAAGUCCCAAAGAUUGUAUUCCAACAUUAGGAAUUUUCUUCUUUUUUAGAACAUAUUUCCUAUACUCUAUGUGCAUGGCUUUAGAAUGAUGUAGUCUACAGACAUGAAUUUUGGGGUACCCUUUUUAACUCUGGCAGGUUCACAGUCCACCUUACAAAAAUGAAGUAUGGGUGGGUGUAUUAAAAAAGGAUGUGAAAAUACACAAAACAGUACAUAAUUGAAAAGAAAAUGGUAGGGGACUUCAGCAGCAUCUGAACAGCAAGGAGAGGAUAUGUUCCUCUUUUCAUUUUUCUACUGCUGAAGUUGCUUUACCUUUAAUGCACAAGAGCUUCUGCUCAUCUUGGUUUCCCAGGACUGCAAUUGCUUCUGUGGUUGCUGGAGUGAGUAGCUUGUGCUGCAGUGCAUGCAGGAUUGAAAGAGAUGGUUUAAUCCUCGGUUGCAGCACAUCAGCUCAUUUAAGCAUCUGUAGUGAUGCAAGUGUGGACAAGGGUACAAGUCAUCUCAUUAACUGAUAACUGCUGUAUGUUGGAGAGUGCAGACUUAAGCUACUCCUGAAAUGAAAAAAGCCAUCUGUUUAAGAUCAACUGGGACAUGAAAUUUAAAAAGUAAAAGAAAAAAAAAAAAAAAAA
ensembl:lncRNA